rnacentral:rRNA from 1 species
CACGUAGGAGGCGAGCGUUGUCCGGAAUCAUUGGGCGUAAAGGGUGCGUAGGCGGCGGGGCCAGUCUGAUGUGAAAUCCCGGGGCUCAACCCCGGAACUGCAUUGGAUACUGCCUUGCUAGAGUACUGGAGAGGGAACUGGAAUUUACGGUGUAGCAGUGAAAUGCGUAGAGAUCGUAAGGAAGGCCAGUGGCGAAGGCGAGUUCCUGGACAGUGACUGACGCUGAGGCACGAAGGCCAGGGGAGCAAACGGG